CACGGCCGUGGCCCCAAAGCAGUGGCAACCCUGGGCUAGUGCAGUUGGGUUACCUGCUCAAGGAGCCGAGUGUUAUGCAACCUGGACUGGAUCCUGGAGGAAGAACCAAAUGGCCCUCAGAGACCUUGGAGGAUGGGAGGUUUACUUAACACCGCACAGGCCCGCCCUGGGGUCCUAUUUUUCUCUGCUGGCUGAAUCUGCUUACACAUCUGGCACACCCACGGGUUGUAAGAGCCAAGCCCAGAGGGAAACACACCCUCGGCCUCUGACUACAACUGUCAUUAAGGAUUCUGCCGUAUAACCCAGUGCAACCUCUCUUCCCACCCCAAAAUGCAGACUCAACCAACGUAGAAGCAUGGGAAAAACCCAAGAAGUAUGAUGGAUCUAAGGGAAGAUAUGUUGACUACUUCAUGAAAAAGAUGCCUUUUGACGAAAUUCGUUUUACUUACUUCAGAUGUAUCACCAGCCAGAUCCCCGGAAAAUAAGUCAAUGGGAGAGUCAGAUGCUUUGGGGUUGAUCAGGAGGGCAUCGAAUUCCUUCCCCACUUCAAAGUUUCCAAUCUCUUUAUCCAGCCCCAGGGCUACAGAGUGGAAUAAAUUAGUAAACAGUCAGUAUUUGGAGCCCUCAGAUGGUGAAAAUGUCCCCAUCUGUCCUUGCAAACUAUCACUAGAAAAAAGCUAUCUUAAUGGGAAGCAGAGAAGCUCUCAUUCUAAGAAAUCCUGAAACAUUGACACACAGGAAGCAGAAGAAGCAUGUGGAAAGCAAAAUCUGAGAAUAAAAACAGGUCCCCUCAUCACCACGAUCUCUAAUUCAGAUGGUGUCUGUCUGUUUCGGCUCUAUUAGUGCCCUUCACAGUCCAGCUGGCCUAUGAUUUCCAUUCAUCCCUCUAAGAAACAUGACGAUUGACAUAAUGUCUUCUUCUCCCCUCCUGUUCUCCCCCCACACACUCCAACUCUUGCCCUUUUUGUUCUGUGAAACAGCUGACGGGAUCUAUUUUCAUGGCAGUGAAAUGAACCUCAAAUAAGUAUCCUUUUGCAUCUUCGUCAACGCAGGCCUGUCCAUCCUAAGUUCCUUAGGUUAAAUCCACUGAAUGGGGAAAAUUGACUUCUGAAAGUAAGUAUGUCCUCCUAACUCAAGAGUGCCAGUGCUUUAGAAAGCAGACCAAUUUCUCAGUAACCUCAAGGACUUUCUGCUUGCCAGGGAAGAAUGGUUUUCUAAAAUAGGUCAGUACUGUCUAUUGACUUGAUCCAUCUUGUAACGAGAAUUCAUGUUCCAUGAAUAUCGGAUGUCAAGGAGGAACAUCUGUCAUAUUUAUGAUUUAGUUUCAGAAGAUGGGAGUAGUUGGCUUUCCGAGUCAAUAAAGAUAUUAACUCUAAA